AGGACGAACGCUGGCGGCGUGCUUAACACAUGCAAGUCGAGCGGAAAGGCCUUUCGGGGUACUCGAGCGGCGAACGGGUGAGUAACACGUGAGUAAUCUGCCCAUCGCUUCAGGAUAGCCAUCGGAAACGGUGAUUAAUACUGGAUAUGACAUUCCUUCGCAUGUUGGGGUGUGGAAAGUUUUUCGGCGGUGGAUGUGCUCGCGGCCUAUCAGCUUGUUGGUGGGGUAAUGGCCCUACCAAGGCUUUGGACGGGUAGCCGGCCUGAGAGGGUGACCCGGCCACACUGGGACUGAGACACCGGCCCAGACUCCGUACGGGGA
rnacentral:rRNA from 1 species